CUGAGGGAAAGUUGCAAAGCACUUUGAAGAGAGAGUUAAAUAGGACGUGAAACCGGUGAGGUGGAAACGGAUAGAGCCAGCGUAUCUGUUCUUGCAUUCAUCUACGUGGUAUUCGCGCGCCCCAGCUCUAGCGACUCCAGAUUGGGACGGAGUUGGGGUUGUACACCGCCCGUGGUGCAUUUGCAGGCGUGUGCGCUGAGCUGUUCGAGGUGUUGGAAUGAACUUGGUUUUGAGGCCAGCUUGCUGGUACCCGGACCGGGGAAGUGCCAUUCGCCUUGGGCUUUUUGUUGGAUAUGGCUUACGGGCUCGUAUGGGCGCCGAGCUGAUCGUCGGCGGCGGUCGCAUGCGACACGUGCUGUGCGUGCCAGUUCGGUCCUGUGCGAGCUCACAUGUCCCAGGGCUCAGUGUAAUAGCUGUUCAUCUAUCCGACCCGUCUUGAAACACGGACCAAGGAGUUUAUCGUGUGCGCAAGUCAUUGGGUGUUGAAAACCCAGAGGCGCAAUGAAAGUGAAGGCAUCCCUCGCGGAGCCGACGUGCGAGCACGGGCACUGCGGUGUCCGAGUGCAGCAUGGCCCCAUCCUGACUGCUUGCAGUGGGGUGGAGGAAGAGCGUACGCGGUGAGACCCGAAAGAUGGUGAACUAUUCCUGAGCAGGAUGAAGCCAGAGGAAACUCUGGUGGAAGUCCGAAGCGAUUCUGACGUGCAAAUCGAUCGUCUGACUUGGGUAUAGGGGCGAAAGACUAAUCGAACCAUCUAGUA
rnacentral:rRNA from 1 species